ACACAUGCAAGUCGAACGAUGAAGCCCUUCGGGGUGGAUUAGUGGCGAACGGGUGAGUAACACGUGGGCAAUCUGCCCUUCACUCUGGGACAAGCCCUGGAAACGGGGUCUAAUACCGGAUAACACUCUGUCCCGCAUGGGACGGGGUUAAAAGCUCCGGCGGUGAAGGAUGAGCCCGCGGCCUAUCAGCUUGUUGGUGGGGUGAUGGCCUACCAAGGCGACGACGGGUAGCCGGCCUGAGAGGGCGACCGGCCACACUGGGACUGAGACACGGCCCAGACUCCUACGGGAGGCAGCAGUGGGGAAUAUUGCACAAUGGGCGAAAGCCUGAUGCAGCGACGCCGCGUGAGGGAUGACGGCCUUCGGGUUGUAAACCUCUUUCAGCAGGGAAGAAGCGAAAGUGACGGUACCUGCAGAAGAAGCGCCGGCUAACUACGUGCCAGCAGCCGCGGUAAUACGUAGGGCGCAAGCGUUGUCCGGAAUUAUUGGGCGUAAAGAGCUCGUAGGCGGCUUGUCACGUCGGAUGUGAAAGCCCGGGGCUUAACCCCGGGUCUGCAUUCGAUACGGGCUAGCUAGAGUGUGGUAGGGGAGAUCGGAAUUCCUGGUGUAGCGGUGAAAUGCGCAGAUAUCAGGAGGAACACCGGUGGCGAAGGCGGAUCUCUGGGCCAUUACUGACGCUGAGGAGCGAAAGCGUGGGGAGCGAACAGGAUUA
rnacentral:rRNA from 1 species